rnacentral:rRNA from 1 species
GGGCCCGCACAAGCGGUGGAUCAUGGGGCUUAAUUCGUCACUAAGCGAGGAACCUUACCAAGACUAGAUAUCAUACUGCACGCUCUCCGAAAGGAGAGAAGCCUUCGAGGGUGUAUGACAGGUGAUGCAUGGCCGUCGUCAGUUCGUGGCUUGAGCUGUUCCCUUAAGUGGGGAAACGAACGCAACCCUCGUUGCCUGUUACAAGUGUCAGGCGAGACUGCUCCCUCACGGGAGAGGAAGGUGAGGAUGACGCCAGGUCAGCAUGUCCCUUGAUGUCUUGGGCUGCACCCGUGAUACAAUGGGUAGUACAACGAGACGCGAUGUCGUAAGGCGGAGCAAAUCUUUAUAAAACUAUCCUCAAUUCGGAUUGAGGUCUGCAACUCGACCUCAUGAAGUCGGAAUCGCUAGUAA